rnacentral:rRNA from 1 species
UACGUAGGGGGCUAGCGUUGUCCGGAAUCAUUGGGCGUAAAGCGCGUGUAGGCGGUCCGGUAAGUCCGCUGUGAAAGUCGGGGGCUCAACCCUCGAAUGCCGGUGGAUACUGUCGGGCUAGAGUUCGGUAGGGGAGACUGGAAUUCCUGGUGUAGCGGUGAAAUGCGCAGAUAUCAGGAGGAACACCGGUGGCGAAGGCGGGUCUCUGGGCCGAUACUGACGCUGAGGAGCGAAAGCGUGGGGAGCAAACAGG